rnacentral:rRNA from 1 species
UACAGGAGGGGGCAAGCGUUGUUCGGAAUUACUGGGCGUAAAGGGCGCGUAGGCGGCCCGCUAAGUCGAACGUGAAAUCCCCGAGCUCAACUCGGGAACUGCGUCCGAUACUGGCGGGCUUGAAUCCGGGAGAGGGAUGCGGGAAUUCCAGGUGUAGCGGUGAAAUGCGUAGAUAUCUGGAGGAACACCGGUGGCGAAGGCGGCAUCCUGGACCGGCAUUGACGCUGAGGCGCGAAAGCUAGGGGAGCAAACGGG